rnacentral:tRNA from 1 species
GCCAUGGCUCAGUGGUACAGUAUCUGCUUUGCAUGCAGAGGGUCCCAGAUUUAAUCCCAAGGAUCUCCG